CUGUUUUCUACUUUCAAUUCAAACAAUGUCAAAGCGACAUUUUGCAGUUCUAUGGUCUUCGCAAACUUUACAGAAAGAAAUAUUUUGGCAUUUUUAAUAUCUGGUUUAUUACUAUAAAAUUCGUUUUCUGUUUUGUUUUAUCGUCCUAAGCUAAAUUCCACUUGAUCCUACUUGGUUGCCUCGGUAUAAACUUUUUAUUGAUAACUGGUAAAAAGAGGCAAUAAAAUAUAUGUUCAUAACAGAAAAGGAGAAGAAAACUGGAAAGUAAAAUGCCAGUUGCAGUGCACCUUGUAGAAGUUUUGACUUUGAUAACUGCUUUGGGAAUUCUUGUGGCAUUUACUUUUUUUAUCGUCGCGGCUGAUAGAAUUCUCUACCUGGCUCUACUUAUAGUCCAGCCUUUAUCGAUUCUGUUCACAACCAUUAUGUACAAAGCGGAACAGAUUCUACUGUGGAUAUUAAAUAGAAUCCUGUACGUAGCUGGAAAUGUCGGUACAUCACUCGGAUGUUCAUCUAACGACUGUUCUGGCGGAAAAUAAUUUUUAUAGAUAUUUUUAAAAUGUUAUUUCGAACUUGGGCAAGUUAAGUGAAAUUUACUAGUAUGCACUGCCCUUCCUGAAGCGAUGUGAAAUGUUAAAAGUUGAGCAUGUACAUUAUGCUUUUUUCUUGUUGACCAAUAAAUUAUGAAAACUCCUUUUGGAAGAAAA